AUUGAACGCUGGCGGCAGGCCUAACACAUGCAAGUCGAACGGUAACAGGAAGCAGCUUGCUGCUUCGCUGACGAGUGGCGGACGGGUGAGUAAUGUCUGGGAAACUGCCUGAUGGAGGGGGAUAACUACUGGAAACGGUAGCUAAUACCGCAUAACGUCGCAAGACCAAAGAGGGGGACCUUAGGGCCUCUUGCCAUCGGAUGUGCCCAGAUGGGAUUAGCUAGUAGGUGGGGUAACGGCUCACCUAGGCGACGAUCCCUAGCUGGUCUGAGAGGAUGACCAGCCACACUGGAACUGAGACACGGUCCAGACUCCUACGGGAGGCAGCAGUGGGUAAUAUUGCACAAUGGGCGCAAGCCUGAUGCAGCCAUGCCGCGUGUAUGAAGAAGGCCUUCGGGUUGUAAAGUACUUUCAGCGGGGAGGAAGGGAGUAAAGUUAAUACCUUUGCUCAUUGACGUUACCCGCAGAAGAAGCACCGGCUAACUCCGUG
rnacentral:rRNA from 1 species